rnacentral:rRNA from 1 species
UACGUAGGGUGCAAGCGUUUGUCCGGAAUUAUUGGGCGUAAAGAGCUCGUAGGCGGUCUGUCGCGUCGGCUGUGAAAACCCGGGGCUCAACCCCGGGCCUGCAUUCGAUACGGGCAGACUAGAGUUCGGUAGGGGAGUCUGGAAUUCCUGGUGUAGCGGUGAAAUGCGUAGAUAUCAGGAGGAACACCGGCGGUGUAGACGGCUUGCUAGACCAUAACUGACGCUGAGGCACGAAAGCGUGGGUAGCAAACAGG